AUGUUCUUACUUAUUGUUAUUAUCAAUAGUGAAGUAAAAAAGCAUUUUAACUUAAAAGGGGAAUAUUUUUUAAAAGAAUUACUUUGUUUUAAAAACCUAAUUCAAACCCCUCAUUUCUUGUGUUUUUCACACCUUAAACUUCCUCAUCCUUCACUACUUGCACGAAUGAUUCCCACACCUGUAACAUAA